UGACUGCUGAUUGGUGACUGAAGUCCG
rnacentral:sRNA from 1 species